rnacentral:rRNA from 1 species
AUUGAACGCUGGCGGAAUGCUUUACACAUGCAAGUCGAACGGCAGCACGGGUGCUUGCACCUGGUGGCGAGUGGCGAACGGGUGAGUAACAUAUCGGAACGUACCCAGUAAUGGGGGAUAACUAACCGAAAGGUUAGCUAAUACCGCAUACGCCCUGAGGGGGAAAGCGGGGGAUCGAAAGACCUCGCGUUAUUGGAGCGGCCGAUAUCUGAUUAGCUAGUUGGUGAGGUAAAGGCUCACCAAGGCGACGAUCAGUAGCAGGUCUGAGAGGAUGAUCUGCCACACUGGAACUGAGACACGGUCCAGACUCCUACGGGAGGCAGCAGUGGGGAAUUUUGGACAAUGGGGGAAACCCUGAUCCAGCCAUUCCGCGUGAGUGAAGAAGGCCUUCGGGUUGUAAAGCUCUUUCGGCAGGGAAGAAACGGUUCUGGAUAAUACCCGGAGCUAAUGACGGUACCUGAAGAAGAAGCACCGGCUAACUACGUGCCAGCCGCCGCGGUAA